CAGGCCUAACACAUGCAAGUCGAGCGAGGAGCUUGCUCCUAGCGGCGAACGGGUGAGUAACACGUGGGCAACCUGCCCUCAGCUCUGGGAUAACCCCGGGAAACCGGAGCUAAUACCGGAUACGACCUCCAUUGGCAUCAGCGGAGGUGGAAAGAAUUUCGGCUGAAGAUGGGCCCGCGGCCUAUCAUGCUUGUUGGUGGGGUAACGGCCUACCAAGGCGACGACGGGUAGCCGGCCUGAGAGGGCGACCGGCCACACUGGGACUGAGACACGGCCCAGACUCCUACGGGAGGCAGCAGUGGGGAAUAUUGCGCAAUGGGCAAAAGCCUGACGCAGCGACGCCGCGUGAGGGAUGAAGGCCUUCGGGUUGUAAACCUCUUUCAGCAGGGACGAAGCGAAAGUGACGGUACCUGCAGAAGAAGCACCGGCCAACUACGUGCCAGCAGCCGCGGUAAU
rnacentral:rRNA from 1 species